CCCGCCCCUAGGGCAGUUAGAGGCGCCGGGGUGGUGGGCUGAGCCAGCGGCUGCCGGGAGGCCAUGUCCGCAGGCCGGCGGGGCUACGCGGCCCGGCCCUGCUUGUCAGGCGAUCCUUUUGAGUAAUUUGUUUCACGGACGCGCCGUGCUGUGGGGUAAAGCAGCAGUAUGCUGCUUUCAUCUGUCCGUGAAAACGGCUUGAGAACUGGGAGGAGGCUGGAGAAAAGAUGCCCUCUGAAUCUUUGUGUUUGGCUGCCCAGGCUCGCCUUGACUCCAAAUGGUUGAAAACAGAUACACAGAUGAUAGUGUCGAACACAGUGGAACAAAGAAAGAAGAUCUGGAUGACAAAGAAAAAUGAUGAAGAAGAAACUCCCGCACAUGUGUACAGCACCAAGUCAAUUCUGGACAGUUGGUUAUGGGGCAAGCAACUAGAUAAUCUUCUGCGUUUUGACACUUAGGAAAGCUGAAUCUGAUGCUCCUUAUCUAAAUAACUUGGAUGGAUUAUUAGUAUUUUUGGUAACAAUUUUUUUGUUCUGUUUUUUUUGAGGCGGAGUCUAACUCUGUCGCCCAGGCUGGAGUGCAAUGGUGCAAUCUUGGCUCACUGCAAGCUCCAUCUCCUGGGUUCAAGGGAUUCUCCUCCCUUAGCCU